GCGGGCGUGGCGAAAUUGGUAGACGCGCUGGUUUUAGGUACCAGUGGCUUUGGCCGUGGGGGUUCAAGUCCCUCCGCCCGCACCA
rnacentral:tRNA from 3 species